UGAAUCUACAUAUAAUCACGAAUUGUCAAAAAAAUUGAUGUGCUUGGCAGUGAAGCUUAUUUGGUUCUCAAAGUGACAGAAUAUUUAACUAUUGCAAGCCAUCAUACCUUGCCAAGAAUGCACCCUUUUGUUGAAGGUAGGUUAGCCAAUGGUCUAGAAUGCAAGACCUCACAUAAUUUGAGAGAUUGGGGACCAGUUUCUUCAAGCUUUCUUUCCCUCUCAUUCCAUAUAUUGAGUAGUUCUUUUGAAGGCGCUGUUCCAAUGAUUCCAGGAUGAACUAAACCAGGAAAUCUUACACCUGUUUGAGAGAUUUCCAGUAGAUCUUAUUAGGACUUGAUACGCAUAUUUGACUAGGAUAUAUUAGAAGAUAUGCAGCUUUACCUGGUAUAUGUGGUGAGUAGGCAUAUAUGCCUUCGAAGUACCAAAUAGCUUUAGUUGCAUGGGGAAAAUGAUCUGUUAGAAAUCCUCCACCAUUCUCUCUGUCGAAUAUUGCUGUAAAACCCCAUUCAUCUCCGGGGAGAGGCCCUAAGUUGCAUAUUUCAACAGCAAGAAGGUCACCUGGUUCAGCGGGAUUUCCAUCUGUAUCUACGACUCUUAUUGGCCCACUGAGAUAAUGGACCUACAUAGGAGAGUUAUAUGAUUCAGCCUGAAAUGAUUUCGAACAUCAUAUGACUUAGGAUCUAGGACACUUUGUUGGCUGGAUAUGUUAGUUUAUGCACACUUACAGUAGAUAAAUCAAUAGUUUUUACAUCCAUUGCAGAGUUAUUAUCUUGGAUAGCGCCUGCUGUCCAAUCAACCAUCUCAAUUCGGAACAUCUCCCCUGUUUUAAUCUCUGUUACAUGUGGUAUCUCUGGGUGCCAACGGUUGUGGAGUGGCAACUUUUGUUCCCAUGGCUUUUUCUUUAGGUCUAUGGGGAUUACUAGUCUUGGAGUAGGAGGAGCCAUGGUGACUU